GACGAACGCUGGCGGCGUGCUUAACACAUGCAAGUCGGACGGUGAAGCGCCUUCCUUUUUGGUGGGUGCGGAUGAGUGGCGAACGGGUGAGUAACACGUGAGUAACCUGCCCCCUUCUUCUGGAUAACCGCAUGAAAGUGUGGCUAAUACGGGAUAUUCUGGGUCUGUCGCAUGAUGGGUCUGGGAAAGAUAUUGUUUCGGUGGGGGAUGGGCUCGCGGCCUAUCAGCUUGUUGGUGGGGUGAUGGCCUACCAAGGCGGUGACGGGUAGCCGGCCUGAGAGGGUGGACGGUCACACUGGGACUGAGACACGGCCCAGACUCCUACGAGAGGCAGCAGUGGGGAAUAGUGCACAAUGGGCGCAAGCCUGAUGCAGCGACGCCGCGUGAGGGAUGGAGGCCUUCGGGUUGUGAACCUCUUUCGCCAGUGAAGCAGGCCUGCCUCGUUUGUGGGUGGGUUGACGGUAGCUGGAUAAGAAGCGCCGGCUAACUACGUG
rnacentral:rRNA from 1 species